UUACCUCUUAGGGUUUCCUCUGGGGUAAGUGAUUGCUUCUACACUGUGAAAAUUUGGCUGAGAGACUCAGACUGGUCAUGGGUAGACCUAUCUGGGGUUUGAUCGAUGCCACUCCUGGUUUCAGGAGCACCCUUCAUAAUAAACCUAGAAAUUCAGUAUUAUAAAGUUUAAUAAAAAACAACUUUUAACAAUGGAUCUCUUGGUUCUCGCAUCGAUGAAGAACGUAGCAAAGUGCGAUAACUAGUGUGAAUUGCAUAUUCAGUGAAUCAUCGAGUCUUUGAACGCAGCUUGCACUCUAUGGUUUUUCUAUAGAGUACGCCUGCUUCAGUAUCAUCACAAACCCACACAUAACAUUUGUUUAUGUGGUAAUGGGUCGCAUCGCUGUUUUAUUACAGUGAGCACCUAAAAUGUGUGUGAUUUUCUGUCUGGCUUGCUAGGCAGGAAUAUUACGCUGGUCUCAGGAUCUUUUUCUUUGGUUCGCCCAGGAAGUAAAGUACAAGAGUAUAAUCCAGCAACUUCAAACUAUGAU
rnacentral:rRNA from 2 species